UACGUAGGGUCCGAGCGUUGUCCGGAAUUAUUGGGCGUAAAGAGCUCGUAGGCGGUUUGUCGCGUCUGCUGUGAAAUCCCGAGGCUCAACCUCGGGUCUGCAGUGGGUACGGGCAGACUGGAGUGCGGUAGGGGGAGAAUGGAAUUCCUGGUGUAGCGGUGGAAUGCGCAGAUAUCAGGAGGAACACCGAUGGCGAAGGCAGUCCUCUGGGCCGUAACUGACGCUGAGGAGCGAAAGCGUGGGGAGCGAACAGG
rnacentral:rRNA from 1 species